GACGAACGCUGGCGGCGUGCUUAACACAUGCAAGUCGAACGGAAAGGCCCUGCUUUUGUGGGGUGCUCGAGUGGCGAACGGGUGAGUAACACGUGAGUAACCUGCCCUUGACUUUGGGAUAACUUCAGGAAACUGGGGCUAAUACCGGAUAGGAGCUCCUGCUGCAUGGUGGGGGUUGGAAAGUUUCGGCGGUUGGGGAUGGACUCGCGGCUUAUCAGCUUGUUGGUGGGGUAGUGGCUUACCAAGGCUUUGACAGGUAGCCGGCCUGAGAGGGUGACCGGCCACCUUGGGCCUGAGAUACGGCCCAGACUCCUACGGGAGGCAGCAGUGGGGAAUAUUGCACAAUGGGCGGAAGCCUGAUGCAGCAACGCCGCGUGCGGGAUGACGGCCUUCGGGUUGUAAACCGCUUUCGCCUGUGACGAAGCGUGAGUGACGGUAAUGGGUAAAGAAGCACCGGCUAACUACGUG
rnacentral:rRNA from 1 species